GUAUUAAAUGCGCGUUUAGGGGUGAUAGGCUUUUCAAACGUUCGUAUAACUUGUUUCAUAUGAAAAGUAUUUAGUACCUAAACAAAUUUGAAAAGUUAAGCUUUUAAAUUAUUAUUAAAGAUAUUAUUCCCUUGUAGUGUAGUUUAAUAACUAUCUACAUAGUAACUUAACAUUAAGUAUGUUAGUUUAUAUUUAAUAGUAUGACGCUAACAAUUUUGUUAAUAAUUGAAAAUGUUAGUAUUAGUAAUAUUAGUAUAUGUGCUAAAGGAACUCGGCAAAAAACCGCUCAACUGUUUAUCAAAAACAUAGCUAUAUGAAUUAGUAUAUAGUUGUUUCUGCUCAAUGACUUAAAUAGCCGCAGUACUCUGACUGUGCAAAGGUAGCAUAAUCAGUUGGCUUUUAAUUAGAGUCUGGUAUGAACGAAAAUAUGGGUAGUAACUGUCUUAGCAUAUUUCUUUGAACUUGUUAAACAAGUGCAAAUGCUUGUAAUUAAACAAUAGACGAGAAGACCCUAGAAACUUGGACAUAUUUUUGUUGGGGCGACAGAAUUACAUUUAACUAAUCUUUUAAUACAUGACGCGAUGCUGAAAGAAUAAGUUACUCUAGGGAUAACAGCAUAAUUUCAUUAGUUUGUGACCUCGAUGUUGGACUAGGUACUAUACCCUUAAGGCAAGGAUAUAUUGUGCUCUGUUCGAGCAAAGUUACCUACAUGAUCUGAGUUCAGACCGG
rnacentral:rRNA from 1 species